GUACGAGAGGACCGGGAUGGACGCACCGCUGGUGUACCAGUUGUUCUGCCAAGGGCAUCGCUGGGUAGCUAUGUGCGGACGGGAUAAGUGCUGAAAGCAUCUAAGCAUGAAGCCCCCCUCAAGAUGAGAUUUCCCAUUCCGCAAGGAAGUAAGAUCCCUGAAAGAUGAUCAGGUUGAUAGGUCUGAGGUGGAAGCGUGGUGACACGUGGAGCUGACAGAUACUAAUAGAUCGAGGACUUAACCUA
rnacentral:rRNA from 1 species